rnacentral:snRNA from 1 species
AUCGCUUCUGAGAUCAAAUGUAAUACCUGUUCUUAUCAGUUUAAUAUCUGAUAUGUCUUGACAGGGGGACAACAUUCAGUGGCAAAAAAUAAUAAUUUUUUUGGAAUUUUC